rnacentral:rRNA from 1 species
AGUUUGAUCCUGGCUCAGAUUGAACGCUGGCGGCAGGCCUAACACAUGCAAGUCGAGCGGUAGAGAGAAGCUUGCUUCUCUUGAGAGCGGCGGACGGGUGAGUAAUGCCUAGGAAUCUGCCUGGUAGUGGGGGAUAACGUUCGGAAACGGACGCUAAUACCGCAUACGUCCUACGGGAGAAAGCAGGGGACCUUCGGGCCUUGCGCUAUCAGAUGAGCCUAGGUCGGAUUAGCUAGUUGGUGAGGUAAUGGCUCACCAAGGCGACGAUCCGUAACUGGUCUGAGAGGAUGAUCAGUCACACUGGAACUGAGACACGGUCCAGACUCCUACGGGAGGCAGCAGUGGGGAAUAUUGGACAAUGGGCGAAAGCCUGAUCCAGCCAUGCCGCGUGUGUGAAGAAGGUCUUCGGAUUGUAAAGCACUUUAAGUUGGGAGGAAGGGUUGUAGAUUAAUACUCUGCAAUUUUGACGUUACCGACAGAAUAAGCACCGGCUAACUCUGUGCCAGCAGCCGCGGUAAUACAGAGGGUGCAAGCGUUAAUCGGAAUUACUGGGCGUAAAGCGCGCGUAGGUGGUUUGUUAAGUUGGAUGUGAAAUCCCCGGGCUCAACCUGGGAACUGCAUUCAAAACUGACUGACUAGAGUAUGGUAGAGGGUGGUGGAAUUUCCUGUGUAGCGGUGAAAUGCGUAGAUAUAGGAAGGAACACCAGUGGCGAAGGCGACCACCUGGACUAAUACUGACACUGAGGUGCGAAAGCGUGGGGAGCAAACAGGAUUAGAUACCCUGGUAGUCCACGCCGUAAACGAUGUCAACUAGCCGUUGGAAGCCUUGAGCUUUUAGUGGCGCAGCUAACGCAUUAAGUUGACCGCCUGGGGAGUACGGCCGCAAGGUUAAAACUCAAAGGAAUUGACGGGGACCCGCACAAGCGGUGGAUGAUGUGGAUUAAUUCGAAGCAACGCGAAGAACCUUACCAGGCCUUGACAUCCAAUGAACUUUCUAGAGAUAGAUUGGUGCCUCCGGGAACAUUGAGACAGGUGCUGCAUGGCUGUCGUCAGCUCGUG